rnacentral:rRNA from 1 species
UACGGAGGAUCCAAGCGUUAUCCGGAUUUAUUGGGUUUAAAGGGUCCGUAGGCGGGCUUUUAAGUCAGUGGUGAAAUCCCGGAGCUCAACUCCGGAACUGCCAUUGAUACUGAAGGCCUUGAAUUUAGUUGAGGUGGGCGGAAUACGUUAUGUAGCGGUGAAAUGCAUAGAUAUAAUGUAGAACACCGAUUGCGAAGGUAGCUCACUAAGCUAACAUUGACGCUGAUGGACGAAAGCGUGGGGAGCGAACAGG